rnacentral:rRNA from 1 species
CUGGCAACAGAAACAACCAUAAAGAAGCCGUCGAGAAAUAUCGAAAGAGUUUUCUUUUCUGUUUUAUAGUCGUAUUACCAUGGAAGUCUUUCGAAGAGAGAUAUGGUAAAUGGACUAGAAGAGCAUGGCAUUUACUGCUGUGUCGAUAUUUUCUCCUCGGACCUUGAAAAUUUAUGGUGGGGUUACGCAAACUUCUUAACAGGCCGUACCGAUAUCCGCAGCUGGUCUCCAAGGUGAAGAGUCUCUAGUC